AAAAAAGGUAAGCUACUAAGAGCGAAUGGUGGAUGCCUUGACUGGUAAAGGCGAUGAAGGACGUACUAGACUGCGAUAAGCUACGGGGAGCUGUCAAGAAGCUUUGAUCCGUAGAUUUCCGAAUGGGGCAACCCAAUGUAUAGAGAUAUACAUUACCUAUAUAGGAGCGAACGAGGGGAAUUGAAACAUCUUAGUACCCUCAGGAAAAGAAAUCAAUAGAGAUUGCGUCAGUAGCGGCGAGCGAAAGCGCAAGAGGGCAAACCCAGUGCUUGCACUGGGGGUUGUAGGACUGCAAUGUGCAAGAGGUGAGUUUAGCAGAACAUUCUGGAAAGUAUAGCCAUAGAGGGUGAUAGUCCCGUAUGCGAAAAACAAACCUUAGCUAGCAGUAUCCUGAGUAGGGCGGGACACGAGAAAUCCUGUCUGAAGCUGGGUCGACCACGAUCCAACCCUAAAUACUAAUACCAGAUCGAUAGUGCACAAGUACCGUGAGGGAAAGGUGAAAAGAACUGAGGUGAUCAGAGUGAAAUAGAACCUGAAACCAUUUGCUUACAAUCAUUCAGAGCCCUAUGUAGCAAUACAGGGUGAUGGACUGCCUUUUGCAUAAUGAGCCUGCGAGUUGUGGUGUCUGGCAAGGUUAAGCAAACGCGAAGCCGUAGCGAAAGCGAGUCUGAAUAGGGCGCUUAGUCAGAUGCUGCAGACCCGAAACGAAGUGAUCUAUCCAUGAGCAAGUUGAAGCUAGUGUAAGAACUAGUGGAGGACUGAACCCAUAGGCGUUGAAAAGCCCCGGGAUGACUUGUGGAUAGGGGUGAAAGGCCAAUCAAACUUCGUGAUAGCUGGUUCUCUCCGAAAUAUAUUUAGGUAUAGCGUUGUGUCGUAAUAUAAGGGGGUAGAGCACUGAAUGGGCUAGGGCAUACACCAAUGUACCAAACCCUAUCAAACUCCGAAUACCUUAUAUGUAAUCACAGCAGUCAGGCGGCGAGUGAUAAAAUCCGUCGUCAAGAGGGAAACAACCCAGACUACCAGCUAAGGUCCCUAAAUCUUACUUAAGUGGAAAACGAUGUGAAGUUACUUAAACAACCAGGAGGUUGGCUUAGAAGCAGCCAUCCUUUAAAGAAAGCGUAAUAGCUCACUGGUCUAGUGAUUUUGCGCGGAAAAUAUAACGGGGCUAAAGUAAGUACCGAAGCUGUAGACUUGCGCACAACUUAGAUUAUUUAAGUUUAGAAUAUGAGAAACUAAGUUAUAUGUUUAGUUAUAUUUUUACUGAUUUUUAUAGAGUAAAGAUAGAAAUAAAACUUAGUAAAAUCAGUAAAAAUAUUCUUAGAUUAAAGUUAAGUAGUUUAAGUUGUGUGCAAGUGGUAGGAGAGCGUUCUAUUUGCGUCGAAGGUAUACCGGUAAGGAGUGCUGGAGCGAAUAGAAGUGAGCAUGCAGGCAUGAGUAGCGAUAAUUAAUGUGAGAAUCAUUAACGCCGUAAACCCAAGGUUUCCUACGCGAUGCUCGUCAUCGUAGGGUUAGUCGGGUCCUAAGUCGAGUCCGAAAGGGGUAGACGAUGGCAAAUUGGUUAAUAUUCCAAUACCAACAUUAGUGUGCGAUGGAAGGACGCUUAGGGCUAAGGGGGCUAGCGGAUGGAAGUGCUAGUCUAAGGUCGUAGGAGGUUAUACAGGCAAAUCCGUAUAACAAUACUCCGAGAACUGAAAGGCUUUUUGAAGUCUUCGGAUGGAUAGAAGAACCCCUGAUGCCGUCGAGCCAAGAAAAGUUUCUAAGUUUAGCUAAUGUUGCCCGUACCGUAAACCGACACAGGUGGGUGGGAUGAGUAUUCUAAGGCGCGUGGAAGAACUCUCUUUAAGGAACUCUGCAAAAUAGCACCGUAUCUUCGGUAUAAGGUGUGGUUCGCUUCGUAUUAGGAUUUACUCCGAAAGCGAAGAAACUUACAACAAAGAGUCCCUCCCGACUGUUUACCAAAAACACAGCACUCUGCUAACUCGUAAGAGGAUGUAUAGGGUGUGACGCCUGCCCGGUGCUCGAAGGUUAAUUGAUGGGGUUAGCAUUAGCGAAGCUCUUGAUCGAAGCCCGAGUAAACGGCGGCCGUAACUAUAACGGUCCUAAGGUAGCGAAAUUCCUUGUCGGUUAAAUACCGACCUGCAUGAAUGGCGUAACGAGAUGGGAGCUGUCUCAAAGAGGGAUCCAGUGAAAUUGUAGUGGAGGUGAAAAUUCCUCCUACCCGCGGCAAGACGGAAAGACCCCGUGGACCUUUACUACAGCUUGACACUGCUACUUGGAUAAGAAUGUGCAGGAUAGGUGGGAGGCUUUGAGUAUAUGACGCCAGUUGUAUAUGAGCCAUUGUUGAGAUACCACUC
rnacentral:rRNA from 1 species